rnacentral:lncRNA from 1 species
GAACCUAGAAUUUCUCAAUUUUUAUUCCUAUGAGAAGUUGAUAUGAAUUAAAAUGUGAAGUUCUUUACAAAAAAGAAGUCCAAGACAACUGGUGCGUUGCUAGCUUUGAGAAACUCAAGAUCAGAUACAUCAACCCAUCCGCCACCGCUCCCGCUAUGCUGCAAGAAUAACAUCUACUUAAGCUGGCCGUAAAAUUGCUUUUCAUGAAGAUCACAUUUGCAGUGACAACAUGCUUCCCGAUGCGGUUUGUGGUUAAAGUCGAAGCCCGAUAUUUUAGCUUGCUUGUUACUUUCACGUCUUCUUGAGGGAGAUCAAUCCAGAAGUACCCAUUGUUUUGUCCACCUGCAGGGUAAUUCAAACCACUCGAGCUAACCGGUUUGACUUGGGGUGUACCAAACCUGUUUAAAAAGCUGUGUUUUAAAAAAAUAUAUAUAGUAUGGCACAGAUGAAGGCAUGUAAGUCUCUUCAGGGUGGAAGUAGACCGUUGGUCCACGCCAAGAAUCA